CAGUUACGUCUUCGUCAUUGUUAAGGCGGGGUCUCUUUACCGUUUAGCUAAUUUCCUGCCUGACGACAGAAAAGAACGGCAGAACUGGCAAUAAAUCUUCGACGAUUAGACUUCGUAGACCGACUGUAGACAAUUCGAAAGAUGGUGCGUCCACAGUUUGGACCCCCACGCAUGAAGCCCAGCAGAUCAUAUGGAGAUGGUCAUAGAAGUGGCCCCAGAGAAGGUAAUUACUCUCCUAAUUCAAAACCAAGAAGAGACACCCACAGCCCCCCAGGAAAACCCAGCGGCAACUGGAGAGAGUCAAGGGGUCGAGGUCGACCCCCACCCGACAGAAAAGUUCCACCAAUGGAAGACCACAGAGAGCCACGCUUCAAUAACUGGAGGCAACACAAUCAGGAUUCCUAUCAAUCAUAUCCUCACAAAAUGGAAGCACAUCACAACCAGAGGAGACCGCCUUCGUCCAGACCAAACCGCUCUCCUCAUGCCCAGCAUCAAUCCCGCAGUCCUGCUCAAGGGUCGCCAGGCCACAGGGGCCCGGCUCCCCACGGCCACUCCUCAGCUCACAGGUCACCCUCCCCGAGACAUUUUCGCGGCCAUCCCGGUGACAAGAGGCCUGGCCCUGCACCAGCCUUUCAAGGUUCUUUCAGGGAGUCCAAAAGACAGCCAGCUUUCCCUCCCCAGGAGCAGAGGUAUCGACCCCCCCGUGGGGAUGUUAGUCCAAGAGAGAGGCCCUUUGUGGAAGACAAGAAGCGAUGGAACAACACCGGAGCGUUCUUCCAUCCGCACAAUGGGCAACACGGGCCUCCAGGGCCUCAUCGCAGCCCAAGAGAGAUGCAUGGAAGAGGCUCGUGUCCAGAGAGGUGGUCAUCAGAGCAAGACUCCAGAAGACAGCGUGGUCCCAUGGAGAGGCAGGGCGGCAGACCCCACAACAUGCAGAGUGCAAAAGAUGUCCCUCGUCAGCCCCUUUUCAGACCCCCUCCGCCUUGGAAGGGAGUCCCGCCGCCACCAUCGUCCUUCCACAGGAGCCCCCAGGACAGACAACUGAAUGUCCCCCGCAAGAGGAGAAUAUCAGACGUCAGCAUGUCCUCAUCCAGCCCGCCUCAGGAUCACAGCGGCCCUAAGUUCCCCAGGAGAGAGAGAGUUCCCCUCCUCAGUAUUCCCAGACCAUUCGGUGCUAGACCAUUGUCACUAAGAGAGAAAAGUUUGAUAUUUAAAGGCAGGCAAAUGAGAUUUGACCCUCCCAUGAGACUUAGAAAUCCUCCACCCUUUAGACCCAGGCCACAGAUGGAUGACAUUCCGUCUCGGGGACCUCCCAGCUCUGUUCUCGCUCUAAGAAAGAAGCGUUUCCAGCCUAAUCCGUUACCCCUGAAAAGGCUGCAACCGAGGGAAGCAAGAUCGAAGCAGUCCCCCGGCAGAGAUGACGAUGCAAGCAGCUCCCUGCGAGAGACUAAUACCAGAAAAGAAAAGGUGGAGUCUCGUCGCUCCUUGAAUACACACAGGUACGGUAUUUUCCUUCUUGCACUCUUCGCAGGGCUUGAUGAUUUGGGAGGUUUGAUGAUGACGCCACAUGUGAAAAAUGGAGAAGACGCGAUGCAUAAAAUUCUGUGGCACAGUCCCUCUGCCCCCUCGCUGUCUACGUUCUGCAUUUUCCAUAACGAGAUGACGUUUAUGCUCCCCGUACCAUGAAAACAGCUUUCCAAGUCUGUCACAAAAUGUAUAUCAGCGCUCCUGAAGCACUCCCAAGUUCUGUCAGUUCUCCCAAAUAUGAAAGGAGUCUCCCUCCGGUUGCAAAGCGUUCCUCGGCCUCUCGAAUCACACAGAUUUGGAAGAGGACAAGUCCUGUUCAGAUACAAGGCAUGUUUAAAACAUUUUAAAAGACAAGCUAGCCAGCUUCAGUGCUAUGGAUGAUGCUGAAAUGAAAAACCUACUGUAACUAGAAGAUGUACUGCUGAAUUCUCAAGCAACAUCUCCAUGAAACAUUAUCAUAACCAAUUCUGUGUCACACAGACAAAAAUGGGUGCCGGAAGAGGAAAAUAACAUUUCGUCUGCAGAAUGACUUGAUUUUUGACUGGUAAAAGAUUCCGAGAAGAAACGAAAGACCCCGAUGACCACUGCUAAUACUCAUGAUUACUACAAGAACAGAAGAGGUCUGCUUCUCUGCAUCCAUGAGCACUCUAAAGAAUCAUUUUACACGAGACCCUAAGACAAGUCCAAGCUGGAGCUCAAAAUAGCUUUCUGUAACGAAGACUGCCACUAUAUUACAGUAUAAACCCACGGUUAUGAGAGCAUUUCACCUGUGAAUAUAAUACUGCAAGCCUAAGCCAAAACUGUUUUACCCAGCGUCGCCAAAGCAAUAGCUACAUAGCUACAGACUGAAAUGUCCCCUUAUCAUCCAAACAGCAUAGCUGCGACUGAAAUGUCACCUUAUCGUCCAAAUACCGUAGCUGUGACCACUGAUGGGAGUUCCAUGAUUCCAUCUUAACAGUAUGAAUACGUCUGGGCCAAAAAUUGGCAUGGUCUCAUACUUCAUGUUUCCACUCUUUUGCACCCAAGCUUGCCCUUUUGUAUUUCUAAAAGCCGAUGGAAAAGAUCUGAACCAAUGCCAUGUGCAUGUGAUGUCUUUCCGGCAAAAGAAGAGGAAUGUACUUCACCAUUUGCGCUGCUCGACUCCAAUUUCCGAGAUGAAGCCAAUAUAUAUGCUAAUGGAAUCAUCUCUUAACACCAAAAGUGCAGCCGGAAGUUGGACCGCCCCUCUCUCUAAACUUAAAGAAGCCUUUACAACUUCCCUCAUUUGAAUUCAGCUGAUAAAGUAGACCAAGUGGCAUCAGUGUGAGGCAAAAACAUCUGAGGAGCAACAACCCCAUCCCAAAAUACGGAUUGAAGAUUUGUUGACUCAAUGUAUUACGAUAACCACCCGACCGAUCGCUUUAACGAUCACUGCGUAACCGAAGAGAAAACUCGGGUGUAUUGCGAGUGCAAUUAUAGGAGUACAGGAGCAUGGACAUUCCAUGGUUUUAUCGUCUCCCAUUGAGAAACGCGACCUUGUUGUCGUCUCUCACUGGGCGGCCGGCCCGAGUACAUCUAAGGAGGACUCUCCUGCCAAAGACUGUAGCCCAAAGUCAAAGACAGACACUUCUUUGAGCAACCGAUCAGUGAAAGCUGAA